rnacentral:rRNA from 1 species
GAUGAACGCUGGCGGCGUGCCUAAUACAUGCAAGUCGAGCGAACAGACGAGGAGCUUGCUCCUCUGACGUUAGCGGCGGGCGGGUGAGUAACACGUUGAUACCCUACCUAUAAGACUGGGAUAACUUCGUGAAACCGGAGCUAAUACCGGAUAAUAUGUUGUACCGCAUAGUUCAAUAGUUAAAGACGGUUUUGCUGUCACUUAUAGCUGGAUCCGCACCCCAUUAGCUAGUUGGUAAGGUAACGGCUUACCAAGGCAACGAUGCGUAGCCGACCUGAGAGGAUGAUCGGCCACACUGGACCUGAGACACGGUCCAGACUCCUACGGGAGGCAGCAGUAGGGAAUCUUGCGCAAUGGGCGAAAGCCUGACGGAGCAAUGCCGCGUGAGUGAUGAAGGUCUUCGGAUCGUAAAACUCUGUUAUUAGGGAAGAAAAAAUGUGUAAGUAACUAUGCAUGUCUUGACGGUACCCAAUCAGAAAGCAACGGCUAACUACGUG